rnacentral:rRNA from 1 species
GACGAACCGUGCGAACGUUGUUCGGAAUCACUGGGCUUAAAGGGCGCGUAGGCGGCCCGACAAGUCAGGGGUGAAAGCCCCCAGCUCAACUGGGGAAGUGCCUUUGAUACUGUCGGGCUCGAGGGAGGCAGGGGUGAUGGGAACUUCCGGUGGAGCGGUGAAAUGCGUUGAUAUCGGAAGGAACGCCGGUGGCGAAAGCGCAUCACUGGUCCUCUUCUGACGCUGAGGCGCGAAAGCCAGGGGAGCAAACGGG